rnacentral:rRNA from 1 species
UACGUAGGGGGCAAGCGUUGUUCGGAAUUACUGGGCGUAAAGGGCGCGUAGGCGGCACGGCAAGUCGGAAGUGAAAUGCCUGGGCUCAACCGAGGAACUGCUUUCGAGACUGCCGAGCUAGAGUGUGGCAGAGGGGGGUGGAAUUCCGCGUGUAGCAGUGAAAUGCGUAGAGAUGCGGAGGAACACCGAUGGCGAAGGCGGGUCUCUGGACAGUUCCUGACACUGAGACACGAAGGCCAGGGGAGCAAACGGG